rnacentral:lncRNA from 1 species
AUAGGCAUAUCGUUGAAGCAGUAAGCCCAGCAAAAGGCAUGGAAAUAAAUGACUCAUUCCUUGUAAUGAUUUUUCUUCAUUGUGGGUGGAUUGAAGGGCACGUUACACUUAUACAAGACUGGCAGCAAAAAGUCUCUCCACCUUCCAGGUAUAGUUUAUCAACAAGGAACUACAGCUUCGAAUUGACAUCUGAACCAAGGUCUUGGGGGAAACAAAAUCUUCAGCUGGCUGCUGAUUUAUGA